CUUCUGCCUUGAUCACAGCAUUCAUAGUUUCAAUUCCCAGAUUACAAAUCUCUAGUUUCCAGUUUCCAGACUCCUUUCUAUACCUGUCCAGCAACUCCAGGGUGUGCCUACGUCAUAAAUUCAGACAGAGCAGAGAGUUUCUUCAGAAGUGGACUUAUCAAAGCAACAGUGCUGUUAAUCUGAAGAACAAUGGCAGAUACAAACCCAGAUAAAACCCCUCAGUGCGAUAAGAGCAAACAAUGCCAGGGUGAAGGCAAGGGUGAAGGCAAGGGUGAAGGCAAAGGUGAAGGCAAGGGAAAAGGACCAGGACAAGGGCAAGGCAAGGGCAAGGGUCAGGGUCAUGGUCACGGACACGGUCACGGACCUGGAAAGGAUGGAAAGGAUGGCAAAGGCAAACCAUAAUGACAAGGAGCUGAAUGAAGAGACGUCUGAAGUCUGUCUGAUGCUGUUUUUUUCUUGCACCAUGACUAUAAACUAAAACAUGUAUAAUUAUACCACAUAUGUUUGUUUUUAAUUAAAUGAUCAUCAAUAAAGUGUUUGGUAUCAAAGAAUGGCUUUUAGAAUCGUUGACUCCUUAAGCUUUGAAAUUCCAAAUAUAAAACGAAAUGAAGUAGCUGUGGCAAGGUGUGCAAGUUUACACAGCAAGAAGGUGUAUAUGCUGAAACAAUGUUAAAUCAGGAAAUAAGACCUACUUGGUUUAUGAAUGUUAUCUUUUGUAAAGAAUACUGGUUAAGCAAUACAUGCAAGGUGUAGAUUCAACCAUUAAACACACAUAACUAAAACAUUUUUAUAUGUUUAAGGAGCAAGAAUGGCUCAGAGAAAUUUACAUGUCCACAAUAAAACUCAC
ensembl:lncRNA